CGUUGGCGAAAGUUUAAACCCUGUGCGCGUGUUUGUGGUGUUUUUUCCAAUGGUUAAUGGGGUAAAUGGUUAUGGUUCUUCCCUUGGAGAGACUGAACUCUUUAAGGCUAAGGAUUCCAGAAGGGCAGCCUUAUUAAGGUAGGAUUUUUCUUUUUUAUGCAUGGGUCUAUCGUAUUUCUUUUUUUUUAUGUAUUUAGCAGUGAGAGUGGGAAGUGAUUAGUGUACAUACGACUAUAGUGUAGUUGAUUUUCGUAUCAUAGUAAUAAGUGGAGUUGUAAUCAUCUCCUCAGUCGAGCAACUUGGUAAAGUAAAUUGACUGCAAUGAUCCAUUCGCCAAAAUUCACUUUACUGUACAUAGACCAGUAUGACUAUGAAUUCACAGCCAUGCCAGUUUUGUAAAGUAAACUGAUUUUCCCUGAGAAUGCGACUGUUGCAGCAAAUUUCUCCUUUCCCAAGCGAACUGACUUUAAUCAAAUGCAGACCAUUGCUUAACGUUAUACCUCAUUUAUUAUCUACACGAAAAUCAACUUAGAAGAAGGUAAGUGCGAUUGUGUUCAAAAGAAUAGGUUUCCUAAAAUAAGCCUACUAUCUAAUCUUUCCGUGUGUUCGCAGAGCCAUUGCUGCCCUUAUUGGAAGACUUGCGCCACUUGCUUUUACUGAUGAAGAUCCAACGCCACUUUUCUCCUCGAUUCUGUCAAACGAGAGACUGGUAAUGGUAGUAUCACGUGCCUUUACUACAAGACCUUCGCGACCUGCAUCUGCUGGUGAAGAUCCAACUCCUGCCAGAGUCACGUUUGCCCUAAAUCUCGUUGAACGAGAUAUCGGUAAUGGGAAUAUCGUUUGCUCGUACUACAAGAUUUGCGCGACCUGCAUCUACUGGUGAAAAUCCAACUUCUGCUAGACUCACCUACCCUAACUCCUGUUGAACGAGAUAUCGGUAAUGAGAAUUAUCGUUUGGCCUUACUACAAGACUUGCGCGACCUGCAUCUACUCGUGAAGAUCCAACUCCUGCCAGAGCCACGUCUACCCUAAAUCUCGUUGAACGAGAUAUCGUUAAUGGGAAUAUCAUUUGCUCGUACUACAAGAUUUGCGCGACCUGCAUCUACUGGUGAAGAUCCAACUUCUGCUAGACCCACCCACACCAACUCCUGUUGAACGAGGUAUUGGUGCACCUUACCAUGCUCGUUUGCCAGGAGUCGGAGUGCGAUUGUGCCUCCUGUGGAUAAUGGUCCUUCUCGGGAGAGUCCCAAUUAUUAAGGCUAAAGAUUUCAGAUGAGCAGCCUUAUAAAGGUAGGAU